rnacentral:misc_RNA from 1 species
GGCGGAACUGGCAGUACACCUUUUGAAGGGAGCACUGCUCUUUGGUAAGAGAUUAGACGUGAACUUCUCCAAGUUCCAAAACAUCACCCAGGGUCCCGAUGCCCAUGAAUAUGCAACCUCAAACCUUAACCGAUUCAAUGGCAGCAAUGCAGCCAAGAACUACAGGUACUGCUGUGCCCCAACCAAGAUGAUACACGUGUCCGCCCUCCCCCAAGACAUCACUGACGAUGAGAUUGUGGCCCACCUUGAGGAGCACGGGACCAUU